UACGUAGGCAGCAAGCGUUGUUCGGAAUUACUGGGCGUAAAGGCUCGUAGGCGGCCAACUAAGUCGGAUGUGAAAUCCCCAGGCUCAACCUGGGAACUGCAUCCGAUACUGGAUGGCUUGAAUUCGGGAGAGGGAUGCAGAAUUCCAGGUGUAGCGGUGAAAUGCGUAGAUAUCUGGAGGAAUACCGGUGGCGAAGGCGGCAUCCUGGACCGACAUUGACGCUGAGGAGCGAAAGCCAGGGGAGCAAACGGG
rnacentral:rRNA from 1 species